rnacentral:rRNA from 1 species
UGUGUAAGUAUAAACAACUUGUACUUGUGAAACUGCGAAUGGCUCAUUAAAUCAGUUAUAAUUUAUUUGAUAGUGGCAUUACUACAUGGAUAGCCGUAGUAAUUCUAGAGCUAAUACAUGCUUAAGGGGCUGACUCGCGAGGGAAAGUCUGUAUUUAUUAGAUCAAAAACAAGAAUUAGCUUGUUGUGCCGGGGGGCUCAUGGCUGGCUGGGGCGCGGGCUUCGGUGCCUGGCGUGCCGGUGCGGCGGGGGUCUUCAGUAAUCCAUAGGGUGCAGCAAGCACGAACUAGAAAAAAUCAAUAGGGGUUUACAUUUUUAGUUAUAAAGAGGGCCAUUUUCUUUAAAAGUGGGGAAGAUAGGCGGCGGUGUCUGGUGGUGAGGGGGCUUAAACUCCCCUUGUCACUGCGCGGCAGCGUAUUCUUUUAAUUACAAACUACUUUUAAUCGGGGAAUGGCUCUUGGAAAUGUAAAACUUAGCCUCUCUGUCACAGGGGGGGCGUAAAUUUUGUUAGAUGAAUCAUGAUAAAAGUGUCGAAUCGAAUAUUCAGUUAUUCGAUGUGUCAUUGAAAUUUCUGCCCUAUCAACUGAUGAUGGUAGGAUAGAGGCCUACCAUGGUUUUGACGGGUAACGGAGAAUUAGGGUUCGAUUCCGGAGAGGGAGCCUGAGAGAUGGCUACCACUUCCAAGGAAGGCAGCAGGCGCGCAAAUUACCCAAUCCCAAUAAUUUUAUUCUUGGGGAGGUAGUGACAAAAAAUAACAAUGCAUUGGCACUUUUACAGUGUUGUGCAAUUGGAAUGGCUAGGAUGUAAAUGCUCCUAGGAGUAACAAUUAGAGGGCAAGUCUGGUGCCAGCAGCCGCGGUAAUUCCAGCUCUAAUAGUGUAUACUAAAAUUGCUGCAGUUAAAAAGCUCGUAGUUGGAUUUAUGAGUUAUGUUUUUAUUUCUUUCUGGGGUAUUUUUUCCCCCCCUUGUAUGGUGUAUUUGUUUCCCCUCACGGGGGGCAGGUGCAUUGGCAGGGGGGGGGAAGCCCUUUUAAAACGGAAAGGGAUUUUUUAUAAAACAUGGCUUAUAUCUUUUUAAUAUUAAAAUAUCAAAAGGAUUUAUUUCGAAUUAAAGAUUUUGACCUUAAGUGGUUGAAGAGUCUUAUGAAUUCGGAAGAUUUACUUUGAAGAAAAUGGAGUGUUCAAAGCAGGCAUUUUUUAAAGGAGGCGGCAGGGUUUCGGCUCUGUGCCUUUUUUUAAUUAUUUUAGCAACUGAACAUAUUAGCAUGGAAUAAUAAAAUAGGACACUUUUUAAUUCUGUUUCCUGAAGUCAUAAAUUGGGGAAUGAAGCGGAAAGGGUUCGUCGCUAGGAGUCGGGUGUAACAGCCAGGCUUUUAGUGGAGGGCUCUUGGCUUAGUAUUCUUUUGGUUUUUAUUGGUUUUUUAGUCAAAAAUAUAGAAAAUCAUUUUAGGAAGUAACAUUUUUAAAAUGAAAAGAAGAUACUAGGUUUAUUAUAGCUUUUUUGAUUUGCAUUGCUGGCGUUGUGGCUCUUCCUGUUUUUCGUCUAUUUCGGUAGGCGAGGGGCAGGGCUAUAUGGGAGACAUGGCGUUUUACGUGGUGCAGCCAAAGGAAUUUUAAAGUGUAAUGAUUAAGAGGGACAGUUGGGGGCAUCCGUAUUGCGUGGCUAGAGGUGAAAUUCUUGGAUUCACGCAAGACGAACUAGUGCGAAAGCAUUUGCCAAGGAUGUUUUCAUUAAUCAAGAACGAAAGUUAAGGGAUCGAAGGCGAUCAGAAACCGCCCUAGUCUUAACUAUAAACGAUGCCAACUAGGGAUUGGAGGGAAGCUUUAUUAGUAAAAUAAUUAUAGCCCCGUCAGGACCUUUUCAGAGAAAUCUUAAGUCUGUGGGUUCUGGGGGGAGUAUGGUCGCAAGUCUGAAACUUAAAGAAAUUGACGGAAGGGCACCACCAGGUGUGGAGCCUGCGGCUUAAUUUGACUCAACACGGGGAAACUUACCAGGUCCAGACGCGGGAAGGAUUGACAGAUUGAUAGUUUUUUCUUGAUUCCGUGGGUGGUGGUGCAUGGUCGUUCUUAGUUGGUGGAGUGAUUUGUCUGGUUAAUUCCGAUAACGAACGAGACCUCAACUAGCUAAAUAGUUAUGAGAAUUUUUAAAGAUUCUAGUCCCGAAAGGGCCUGGAGAAAUUCUUGCAGGGGUGCCGAUAUGGCGGUGCAUCCUAUAAAUCGUGUCCUUUAUAAAAACAAUUCUCCUUCAUUUGCGGCUGUUGUGUCAGGGCGUCAAAAACCUUGGCAUGGUGGUUUAGCGGGUGGAGGGGAGGGGGCAUGAGGGGGGUGUGCUGUUGUGCACUUCAGUAUAGUAAUAUAUAUUUAACUUCUUAGAAGGACUACCUUAGUUGCAUGAGGUGGAAGCAUGAGGCAAUAACAGGUCUGUGAUGCCCUUAGAUGUCCUGGGCCGCACGCGCGCUACACUGAUUAAUUCAACAAGUUUGAAAUUAGGGAUAAAAUCAAAAAAAGAGGAGGGGAGAGUGGGAGGGAGGGGAGUUUACUUUCCUUCUUCUUGUUUUUCUCUCCUUUUUUUUGUCUCUAAUUUUUCCUUGCCCGAAAGGGUUGGGUAAGCUUCUGAAAAUUAAUCGUGAUGGGGAUUGACCUUUGUAAUUCUUGGUCAUGAACGAGGAAUACCUAGUAAGUGCAAGUCAUCAGCUUGCGCUGAUUACGUCCCUGCCCUUUGUACACACCGCCCGUCGCUCCUACCGAUUGAAUGAUCAGAUGAAAUGUUCGGAUUAUCAGUCAUUAAUAAGGCGUGUUUCUUUAACCGGAGAUGCGCCGUUUGGCUGAUCGGAGAAGAACAGUGAAUCUUAUUAUUUA